CGAGGCUGGGCCCACCCAGCCCAGCCUCUCCCUCCGGGGAAGGGUCGGAGUCGGCAGUUUGCACCCGAAGGCGAGCAGCGCCGUUGAUCCCGGCUCGAUGGUGAGGCUGCGAGGCGAGAGGGGGGAAGAGAUCGGCAGCAGCGCUUCUGCUGAUAAAGUUACCCCGGCGCAGAGACCGAGCAGAUCCCGCAGUUGGCGCGAGAAUAGAGACCCGGCGAAAGAGCCGCCGGCUCCGUCGCCCGCGGGCUGCUCUCCAGCCCGGCGCUUGCUCCAAACGAGCGCGGUAUUUCCCCGAUCUUUUUAUCGUCCAACGGCGCGCACGUUCUCCUCCUUUACGCGUGGUUUCUGGGAGAGAAGAGCCGCUGGUGAUGCGUUUCUUCCCCAGGACCUGCUCCAACAUUUCCGAGGGCAGCCAAAGACACUCUACAAUUUCAACUGGCUUCUAUUUUAAGAGCUUACAGAGAAAUAUAAGAAAGGGAGUCAUGAAUGCUAAAGGUGUCGAUCAACAGGUUGCAUCUAAUUGAUAGAAUUAGCAGCACACAGGUUGCCUUCUCAGUCUUCUCCCACUAUGAUUACAGCAUCUGCCUAACUUGAAAAGCAGCUAGAGAGCUUUCCUCCAAGCCUCCUCUCCUCCCUAGAUCCGGAUCUGCUUGCAGAGAUCUACUAUUCCAAAGGAUUCUAAACAAUGGAGCUUAUUAGAAUGACAUCCUUCCUACGACAUUCUUCCACUCCCACAGGAGAGCAAAAGCAUGUUUUGCUGCAUGUAAUGUUCAAUGUACCUACAAACAUACAGUAUUUAUUGGAUCUGCAAAUAUCUGGAAAAGGCCUCUGGAGAAUGUAAGGAAAGGAGACAUUGGUAAAAUUAUCCCUUAUCAAAGGAAGCCCUCUGCAAUAAAAUUGUUGUUGUUGUUAAUUGCGAAGUCGUAUCCGACCCAUCGUGACCCCAUGGACAACGUUCCUCCAGGUCUUCCUGUCCUCUACCAUCUUCUGGAGUCCAUUUAAG